rnacentral:rRNA from 1 species
GAUGAACGCUGACAGAAUGCUUAACACAUGCAAGUCGACUCGAGUCUUUGGACUUGGGUGGCGGACGGGUGAGUAACGCGUAAAGAACUUGCCUCAUAGUCUGGGACAACAUUUGGAAACGGAUGCUAAUACCGGAUAUUAUGCUUUCUUCGCAUGGAGGAAGUAUGAAAGCUGUAUGCGCUAUGAGAGAGCUUUGCGUCCCAUUAGCUAGUUGGUGAGGUAACGGCCCACCAAGGCGAUGAUGGGUAGCCGGCCUGAGAGGGUGAACGGCCACAAGGGGACUGAGACACGGCCCUUACUCCUACGGGAGGCAGCAGUGGGGAAUAUUGGACAAUGGACCAAAAGUCUGAUCCAGCAAUUCUGUGUGCACGAUGACGUUUUUCGGAAUGUAAAGUGCUUUCAGUCGGGAAGAAGCAAGUGACGGUACCGACAGAAGAAGCGACGGCUAAAUACGUGCCAGCAGCCGCGGUAAUACGUAUGUCGCAAGCGUUAUCCGGAUUUAUUGGGCGUAAAGCGCGUCUAGGCGGCAAGGAAAGUCUGAUGUGAAAAUGCGGGGCUCAACUCCGUAUUGCGUUGGAAACUGCCUUACUAGAGUACUGGAGAGGUAGGCGGAACUACAAGUGUAGAGGUGAAAUUCGUAGAUAUUUGUAGGAAUGCCGAUGGGGAAGCCAGCCUACUGGACAGAUACUGACGCUAAAGCGCGAAAGCGUGGGUAGCAAACAGG